CUUCGUGAAUGCAAGUUUGUUUCAGGUUCAGUUUGAAGGUGUCAGAGGAUCUGGAUACACCAGUGACAUGGCAAUCGAUGACAUUGAUCUGACAUCUGGUCCCUGCACUUGUCACUCUGACCAGUUCCAGUGUGGUGGUUCUCUCUGUGUACCUCUGUCGGCAAAGUGUAACGGUCAUGCUGACUGUCCAGAUUGGAGUGACGAAG